ACCCCAGGAACCUCGUGCUUCUAGGUAAUGAACCUCCCACCACAGCUCCACUGGAUGGAACCGCCCCAGCUUCCUCCAGCCCAAACUCCUGCACCCACCACCCAGAGAAAUGGAAGUCAAGGACUCGGCAGUCCAAGGCAGCCCUUCUGAAGCAACUUCAGUGGCUCAGCAAAUGUUUGUUGAGAACCUCCUCUGUGCCUGGCUGGAUCAGGGUGGAGCUGUAGAGCUGCACAUCAUGGUCUGCAUCCGGGUCAGCCCUGAAUCUCAGGCACUGGAAGGUUACCCUGAUGGGCAGGACCCACUCCCAUCACUAAGAGAACAUCAAAAGGGCAGGUGUGGGGGUGGAUAGGAAGAUCAGGAUCUCUGAAAGGGCAAGUGUUUGAUAAAAGCCCCUUCCCUGUCCCCACAGCCUGGGACUCCUGGCACCCUGGGGAAUGGCUGUGCCUUCAGGGCUUGCCUUAGACCAGGAGAAGCCAUGGAAAGAUUUUCAGGAGAGGAGGAGUGGAGGUAAAUCUACAGUUCAGCACUUCUCCCUCCACACAGUGGAAGGAUUGACAUGCGAUUGAUUGGCAGGGGAGGUGCCCUAGUUUCUAUCAGGAAAAGAAACCCUAUGACCUGCAUGAGCUCUAGGCAUUGCGUGGGAAAGAGUAGAGAGAGCCAAGAAGCUCCCAGGGGGAGUGGACAGCACCCAGUGAAAGGAGAGACACUGAGGGAGGGGACAAGGAUGCUCCUGCAGCCCCAGGGGAAGGAAGCCAGUUAUCAGAGCCAGGUUCCAAUCCUGCCUCAGCUACUACAUCCCUCCCUGCCCUAAAGCUUAACAAUCAUAAUCACACAAAAGUCAUCCUUAGUCUCAGGUGUGGGCUGGGACUUUACACAUUUUCUCAUUUAACACUGAAACCACCUUUGCAAAGAUGAUGACAGUGAGAGAGUCCAGCAUGGCUGACUCCAUCUUGUUUCUAGCCCCACAGGCUGGCUGUCCUCACUCUUUCCUGAAUGUAGGCCAAGCAAACCUGGGGAGGAACUUAGUUUAUAGUUCAACUUUGAAGCAAGGAUGAUAAUAGUCCCUCCCUAAAACUAACCCCUGAAACCACCUUUGUAAAACUAAUGAAAGCCUACUAGAUUAGAAAUGUGGGAAGGGCCUGAAUUCUGCUAAAAUGUCCGCAUAGUUAGAUGAUAACCAGUCAUUGCUCAACAUCACUAUUGUAGAACCUAAGAUUGGUCUUUUGAGAUGUUUUUCAGAAAUUUGCAUUGUGGUAACCUACAGACUCCACCUGGACCCAUGAUUCAUGACUCAACCGGUCCACCCAGAAGCUGACUCAGAGCAUAAGGAGCAUUUUCCACACCCCUAGGAUUUCAUCUCCAACCAAUCAGCAUUCCCCAUUCUCUAGCCCCUGUCCACCAAACUAUUCUUUAAAAACCUUAGCUCUAAGCUUUAUUUAUUUAUUUCAGUAAUACACUCCUGUCUUCCACUUAGCUGGUUCUGUAUUUAUUAAACUCUUUCUCUACUGCCAUACCGCUGUCUCAGUAAAUUAGCUCUAUCUGUGCAGUAAGCAAGAAGAACUGGUCAGGUGGUUAAAACACUACAGAUAGGCAUUGUUAAACAAAACAAUGGACUAAGCCCCUGCACUAGGCUCCAACAGAACAGACAAAAUCAAAAUGGAGUCACUCAUGCUAAAUGUCAUAUAAUCAAACUGAAACUCUAAGGAAGCUGAUAAAUCCUAAAACAGACCUUUUUUUUUUUCCUGAAAACAGGAAAUUUCAGUCUACCAGAGUCAACCUAGUAAGAAAGUUGCCUCUUCUUUGACCUUUAUGAGAAAGUAACCUGAAGUAACCUGACAUUAAUGAAUCAGCUUCUCUUCUACUAUUCUGUUUCCUUACUCCCACCUUACAAAGCUCACUGCUCUGCUUGCCCUAGUGAGAGAACUCAUUCUAUUGUGUAGAGUAGAGUCAGCCAUGAUUCAUGAAUUAUGAAUAAAAGACAAUUAGAUCUAU
rnacentral:lncRNA from 1 species